rnacentral:ncRNA from 10 species
AUCGUUCAUCCCCAAGGGGGACGCAAAUGCCGACUGAAGGAACGGGUC